rnacentral:snRNA from 1 species
GGAUGUGAGGGCGAUCUGGCUGCGACAUCUGUCACCCCAUUGAUCGCCAGGGUUGAUUCGGCUGAUCUGGCUGGCUAGGCGGGUGUCCCCGUUCUCCCUCACCACUCCAUGUGCGUCCCUCCAGAAGCUGCGUGCUCAGUCGAAGAGGACAACUGGUCAAGGGUAUAGGAGUAGCUGCGCUCCCCUGCUAGAACCUCCAAACAAGCUCUCAAGAGAAAACAUGCAGUAUUGUUCUUUCUGAGUCUAUCUUAUUUCAUUUCAUGUGAUAAAUCACGUUCUGCCUGAUUUU